rnacentral:rRNA from 1 species
UAUCCGCCGGAGAAUUAUGAGCGCUAGCUUAAAACCCAAAAGACUUGGCGGUGCUUAAGAUCCCCCUAGAGGAGUCUGUUCUUUAAUCGAUUACCCCCGUUAAACCUCACCCUUUUUUGUUCUUACCGCCUAUAUACCGCCGUCGUCAGCUGACCCUGUGAAGGACUAAUAGUUGUCAUAAUUAGUAUAACCCAAAACGUCAGGUCAAGGUGUAGCAUAUGAGAGGGCAAGAAAUGGACUACACUUUCUACAACAGAACACACGAAAAAUGUACUUAAAAAUACGCUAGAAGGAGGAUUUAGCAGUAAGGGCAGAAUAGAGAGCUCCCCUGAAACUGGUUCUAAAGCGCGCACACACCGCCCG